AGCAUAUCAAUAAGCGGAGGAAAAGAAACCAACAGGGAUUGCCCCAGUAACGGCGAGUGAAGCGGCAACAGCUCAAAUUUGAAAUCUGGCCCUCGGGUCCGAGUUGUAAUUUGUAGAGGAUGCUUUUGGCGAGGUGCCUUCCGAGUUCCCUGGAACGGGACGCCAUAGAGGGUGAGAGCCCCGUCUGGUCGGACACCGAGCCUCUGUAAAGCUCCUUCGACGAGUCGAGUAGUUUGGGAAUGCUGCUCAAAAUGGGAGGUAUAUGUCUUCUAAAGCUAAAUAUUGGCCAGAGACCGAUAGCGCACAAGUAGAGUGAUCGAAAGAUGAAAAGCACUUUGAAAAGAGGGUUAAAAAGUACGUGAAAUUGUUGAAAGGGAAGCGCCUAUGACCAGACUUGAGCCCGGUGAAUCAUCCAGCGUUCUCGCUGGUGCACUUUGCCGGGCCCAGGCCAGCAUCAGUUUGGCGCGGGGGAUAAAGGUGACGGGAAUGUGGCUCCCUCGGGAGUGUUAUAGCCCGCUACGUAAUACCCUGCGCCGGACUGAGGUACGCGCAUUGCAAGGAUGCUGGCGUAAUGGUCAUCAGCGACCCGUCUUGAAACACGGACCAAGGAGUCGUCUUCGUAUGCGAGUGUUCGGGUGUCAAACCCCUACGCGUAAUGAAAGUGAACGCAGGUGAGAGCUUCGGCGCAUCAUCGACCGAUCCUGAUGUUCUCGGAUGGAUUUGAGUAAGAGCAUACGGGGCCGGACCCGAAAGAAGGUGAACUAUGCCUGUAUAGGGUGAAGCCAGAGGAAACUCUGGUGGAGGCUCGCAGCGGUUCUGACGUGCGAAUCGAUCGUCAAAUAUGGGCAUGGGGGCGAGAGACUAAUCGAACCUUCUAGUAGCUGGUU
rnacentral:rRNA from 1 species